UACGUAGGGUGCAAGCGUUAUCCGGAAUUAUUGGGCGUAAAGAGCUCGUAGGCGGUUUGUCGCAUCUGCUGUGAAAACUGGAGGCUCAACCUCCAGCCUGCAGUGGGUACGGGCAGACUAGAGUGCGGUAGGGGAGAUUGGAAUUCCUGGUGUAGCGGUGGAAUGCGCAGAUAUCAGGAGGAACACCGAUGGCGAAGGCAGAUCUCUGGGCCGUAACUGACGCUGAGGAGCGAAAGCAUGGGGAGCGAACAGG
rnacentral:rRNA from 1 species